rnacentral:rRNA from 1 species
AUGGCAGAACGGGCGGUGACUCGAACCGGAGGUCCGCGGGCGUGCAGCCUGAGCAGAGGCCAGGCGAGGACGAGUCGGAAUCAGAUGGUCGUGGCCGAAUCAUCAAGCCGGCGGGGCAGUUUAGCAAGUCUACAAGUGUGGUGGCCCACGGCAGCGGCUCGGAGAGAGGCCGCAGCAGAGGCAUCGAACCGGCAAGGCGGCUCAAAGCAGCAGGGCAGGUUCAGGCAGCGGGGCGAGUCCGCGGCAGCCCGGCGGCGAUUUAGCGAGGCUAGGUCCGGGUUGGAACCAGAGAUAGGGCGACUCAGAGUGGUCCUCCGUGGUCCGGAGGCAAGGCACGGCGGCUCAGCGCUUAUCACCACGAUGGAAGUGUUUCGAGGUCGGGUCAAUUCGGCCCGGACGAUGCGACUCUGA